rfam:Archangium gephyra strain DSM 2261, complete genome.
GCCGGAGUAGCCCAACCUGGUAGAGGCGCCAGAUCGAGAGUCUGGAGGUUGCGGGUUCGACUCCCGCUUCCGGCA